UACGUAGGGGGCUAGCGUUGUCCGGAUUUAUUGGGCGUAAAGAGCGUGUAGGCGGCCUGGUAGGUCUGCUGUGAAAACUCGAGGCUCAACCUCGAGACGUCGGUUGAAACCGUACGGCUAGAGUCCGGAAGAGGAGAGUGGAAUUCCCGGUGUAGCGGUGAAAUGCGCAGAUAUCGGGAAGAACACCCGUGGCGAAGGCGGCUCUCUGGGACGGUACUGACGCUGAGACGCGAAAGCGUGGGGAGCGAACAGG
rnacentral:rRNA from 1 species